CUUUAAUAAAAUUCACAUGGUCAAUGUCUGAAAUCGGACUAUAUUAAAUAUGGAGGCAGAGAAAAUGUCCAGCCCGUUCUAGACUGUUAGCCCUUAGCAAGAAAAUAUAUACCAAAUAAUCAGGAAAUGGCUAGAAUCUAGUUGAAAAAGGGCUAAAAAUAGAAAUAGGUGGAGAAGAAAGCCUGUGUGGAUAAUUGGGAUCUAAAAACCCACACAGUGAGACUGUAUCUAAAUGCUGUUACUAGGUCUGUCAGCCAAAGUUGCAACACAGUCUCUACGUUGCCAGAUGCAAAAAAGGAAAGGGCUAGUCUUAUUAAAAAGACUGAUGCUGUCUGUAUGAAAGGUACUGAUAUUAAAUCUCAAUAGAAAUAGUGAACAGACAUAUGACUCACUAGUCUGAGUAACCCUGAC